rnacentral:lncRNA from 1 species
UUUGAAUAUCCUAAGAGGAAAUGAGAUCAUAAAACUUCAGAACAGUAUUUCUCCAGCAGUGCAUUGGAAAUAGAAGCUGCCCUUUAGCUGAAACACUGUGAUCAAAGCUCACAAGUUAAGAAAUUAGCUUUUAUACAUAAAGAAAGAUAAAACCUUUCCCUCGAAGAAUUUCAUAUCUGGAAAUCUAUACGAAAAGAUUCUCACACCACAAGUUCUUUUUUUCAGGUCUAACAUUCAUUUGCUCUCUACUAUAAGCUUGAUUACUGUAUAAAUUGAUAUCUGAAGAAUUUAGGAAACAAUGGAAGAAAAAGCAGCAAGUCAACAGAGU